UGAGGAAUAUUGGACAAUGGGCGCAAGCCUGAUCCAGCAAUGCCGCGUGCAGGAUGAAGGCCUUCGGGUUGUAAACUGCUUUUGUACGGAGCGAAAAGGUCUGCCCUAAUACGGUGGGCUCAUGACGGUACCGUAAGAAUAAGCACCGGCUAACUACGUGCCAGCAGCCGCGGUAAUACGUAGGGUGCGAGCGUUAAUCGGAAUUACUGGGCGUAAAGCGUGCGCAGGCGGUUAUAUAAGACAGAUGUGAAAUCCCCGGGCUCAACCUGGGACCUGCAUUUGUGACUGUAUAGCUAGAGUACGGUAGAGGGGGAUGGAAUUCCGCGUGUAGCAGUGAAAUGCGUAGAUAUGCGGAGGAACACCGAUGGCGAAGGCAAUCCCCUGGACCUGUACUGACGCUCAUGCACGAAAGCGUGGGAAGCAAACA
rnacentral:rRNA from 1 species